rnacentral:rRNA from 1 species
AAACCAACAGGGAUUGCCUCAGUAACGGCGAGUGAAGCGGCAAAAAGCUCAAAUUUGAAAUCUAGCACUUUCAGUGUUCGAGUUGUAAUUUGAAGAAAGUUUCUCUGAGUAGUCCUUUAUCUAUGUUCCUUGGAACAGGACGUCAUAGAGGGUGAGAAUCCCGUAUGAUUUUGGAUACUAUUCUUUGUGAGAUUCUUUCGAAGAGUCGAGUUGUUUGGGAAUGCAGCUCUAAGUGGGUGGUAAAUUCCAUCUAAAGCUAAAUAUUGGCGAGAGACCGAUAGCGAACAAGUACAGUGAUGGAAAGAUGAAAAGAACUCUGAAGAGAGAGUGAAAAAGUACGUGAAAUUGCUGAAAGGGAAGGGCUUUAGGUCAGACUUGGUGUUUAAAUGAUUAUCUUCUCUUUUUGAGUUGUGCACUCGUUUUUCACUGGGCCAAUAUCAGUUUUUGUGGUAGAGCACCUAUUGGAAUGUAGCUUUUCUUCGGAUGAGUGUUAUAGCCUUUAGACGAUU